GAUGAACGCUGGCGGCGUGCCUAAUACAUGCAAGUCGAGCGAACGGACGAGAAGCUUGCUUCUCUGAUGUUAGCGGCGGACGGGUGAGUAACACGUAGAUAACCUACCUAUAAGACUGGGAUAACUUCGGGAAACCGGAGCUAAUACCGGAUAAUAUUUUGAACCGCAUGGUUCAAAAGUGAAAGACGGUCUUGCUGUCACUUAUAGAUGGAUCCGCGCUGCAUUAGCUAGUUGGUAAGGUAACGGCUUACCAAGGCAACGAUGCAUAGCCGACCUGAGAGGGCGAUCGGCCACACUGGAACUGAGACACGGUCCAGACUCCUACGGGAGGCAGCAGUAGGGAAUCUUCCGCAAUGGGCGAAAGCCUGACGGAGCAACGCCGCGUGAGUGAUGAAGGUCUUCGGAUCGUAAAACUCUGUUAUUAGGGAAGAACAUAUGUGUAAGUAACUGUGCACAUCUUGACGGUACCUAAUCAGAAAGCCACGGCUAACUACGUG
rnacentral:rRNA from 1 species